GACGAACGCUGGCGGCGUGCUUAAUACAUGCAAGUCGAACGGAAAGGCCCUGAUUUUGUUCGUCUCACGUUUGGCGAACAGGUGAGUAUCACGUGUGUAACAUCCCCUUAUCUUUGGGAUAACUCCUGGAAACUGGGGCUCUAAUACGAUAGAAUCUCUUGAACCAUGGUGUGGGUUGGUAAAUUUCGGCGGUUGGGGAUGGACUCGAGGCUUAUCAGCUUGUUGGUGGGGUAGUGGCUUACCAAGGCUUUGAAGGGUAGCCGGCCUGAGAGGGUGACCGGCCACAUUGGGACUGAGAGACGGCCCAGACUCCUACGGGAGGCAGCAGUGGGGAAUAUUGCACAAUGGGCGGAAGCCUGAUGCAGCAACGCCGCGUGCGGGAUGACGGCCUUCGGGUUGUAAACCGCUUUCGCCUGUGACGAAGCGUGAGUGACGGUAAUGGGUAAAGAAGCACCGGCUAACUACGUG
rnacentral:rRNA from 1 species